CGCCGCCGGACCGGCGCGCGGGUGAGUAACACGUAUGCAACCUGCCCUCCGCAGGGGGAGUAACCCGGAGAAAUCCGGACUAAUACCGCGUGGUACACCAGUGGGGCAUCCCACUGGUGUUAAAAGGAAGUGAUUCCGGCGGAGGAUGGGCAUGCGGCGCAUUAGCUUGUUGGCGGGGUAACGGCCCACCAAGGCGACGAUGCGUAGGGGUUCUGAGAGGAAGGUCCCCCACACUGGUACUGAGACACGGACCAGACUCCUACGGAAGGCAGCAG
rnacentral:rRNA from 1 species